rnacentral:misc_RNA from 1 species
CCCAGUCCAUUUUUUCCUACGGCAAUAAGAGCACAAAAACGUUGAAGGAAAGUAAAUGAAUAGUUAAGAAAACAUGAUACAAAUCCUACAUGUUAAUACUCGACAGAUCAGUUACAAGAAAAUGAAAACUAUAACAAACUCCUCAAUUGAAAAAUGAGACACUAACUGAACUAGUGCUGGAAAACAAAAACACUAGCUUAUCCUAAGAUUAUCAUCCAUUAAAAACGAGCAUCUCCUAUGAGACUCAUCAACAGAACUUCCAAUGGUUAUUGCAGUUUAUACAUGUCACAUAUGUUGUCAUAGGCUCAUCAGCACUCCUAGUCUGCAUUUGAUGGUAGGUGGUCUUGCGUUGCCCGCAUCGACCACACUUGAAUUGAUCAGUUGUGGCUUUUUGGGCACCUCCAAGCUCACAAUAAGGCUUUCUGUUUGAUAUGCUGAUUCUUCUGUUGCAUUUCGUCACUUGCCAUUUCUUCUGAACUCAAGUGUGCAAUUCCUUCUGGUUUCACUUGUCCAAGAAGAACUUUUCUCCUGAAAUCAGGAUUUUUUGCAUCCUUAAUGUUAAACAUUAAGGAUCUAUACUUGAUCUUAUGGGAGCCAUUGGAACGCCCCCAAUGUUUAAACAACACUGACUCAACAGAAACAGCAACUUGAAUUGGGUCACAGGCAUUUACAUCAUCCCAACUAUCUUUCUUAGCUUCGCUAGAGACCUUGCACAAUGCUUCAUAAAAGUUGUUACCGAAUCCUGUCUCGCAAGGCAUCAUUACAUUUUGGAAUACAUGCCAAUGGGGCUGGUGGAUUGCUGCCUGUCAUGAUUGUUUCAGACUCCACAACUUUGGCAGAUAUUGGUGCAACAUUCUGAUUGAUUUUCUCUACCUUGAACAUUUCAGUCUUGGAGAAUUUCUCAACCUUUACAGGGGUGGUCUUUUGAUCUCAGCUUUUACUUUCUCUGCAUUUGCUGGCUUAGCUUUGACAGAAUCUUUAUCCUUCAGUUUUCCAUUUUUGUUAUCACCAUUUGUUUGCUCCAAAACAACUUUUUUCCACAAUGCAAAGACAUCAGAAGCAAGAACCUGGAUGUUCCUCCUAGAAUGUUUGGUUAGAGGUCGAAGACGCUUCCCAACCUGAAAAAUAAAAGUUAAAAUAAACAAAAUGUUCACUUAAUUCCAGUCUUUUACUCAUCAAAUGUUCAUAUAAUCACCAGUUCAUUUCUCAUAAUGGAAAGAUUAUGUUGGUUACCCAGAUUUCUCAAAGGGAAUAAUUUUCUUCUUUGAUGAGCUCAUCGCCAAGGUACAAAAAUAACAGAGCAGAAGAGGGCAAGAACAAGAAGAGAAUUAAGAGAGAAGAAAUGCAAGAGAAAAGAAGGUGGUAUUAUGAGGGAGGGGUUGAUUACCUGGGUAGAGACGAGAAGCUGAAUGGUAACGGGGAAGGCCUUGAGCUGCGCCAAGGCAUCAAGGUAUCGACUUUCCUCAGCUGCUCCUACCGCCUCAACCGCUUUCUUUGCGGCUUCGAAUAGCUCCAGCAAUUCUUUCUUUUUUCACUCUCCGUCAGCAUGUUUUUUUUUUGCCAUUCCACUAACUAACAACAGUUGAACAAAAGAAAAUAAAACUGAAAUCUUUGACCAAAUAUACAAAAGAAACUCUCGACUUCAAAGUUUCAGAGAAAAGGUAUUUUGAGAGCUUACAGAGAUAAGGUGGCAGCUUGGCUUGGGUUUUAUUGGGAGUUCUCCUUCGCUGGACAAGGCGGCGGCGAGGGCAGCUUAAAGGACAGAAUAGCCCUGAAAACAAGAAUGCAAUGCAGAUGCAGAGGACUAACAGAGGAGGCACGUGUGCAAGAGGAUAGAACACAGAAGAGAAAGGAGGAAAGGUAUUUGUGUGAGAAUUGAAACUGGUACAGGGGAAUUCAAAGAGGAGAGGAUUUGGAAGGCUUUUGCUGGUAAGUAGUUACGCUUCUAUUUUCUCGGCAGCUGCCACGGCCCACAGGACUUGGGCCCUCCUACUGCAGUUCUUUCUUUCUUUCUUUUCCCCUCACACAUGGGAUAGGAUCUCUCUGCGAAAAAUCUCUGUGCUUUUAUUUUGAGCUUUUGGUACCUUCCUCCAAAUAUGAGACAUUUUAUUUUACAAAUCUUUGUUAAUGUACACAAAGAAAGGACAAUUUAUUCAAUUAUAAUGCUAAACUUACACAGUAUUGAAGUUUAAGUAAACUGUAUUCUAAGAUAUCUUCGGUUUGAGUUUCCAAUCGAGUCAAAUAAAUACCUAUAUAGCCUUCUUUCUUUACAAAAUCAGUGAAAUCGUCAUCUCGGUAUCUUUGUGGCAUCCUUAUGCAUUUGAAUGAAUGUACUGCUCAGUAACCCCUUUUUUUUUCUGUUGGAAAUGCCUUGUGGGGCAUAUAAAUUUACGACUGCCUUCACUCAUGGUUUUUCAUUGCAAACAUGAUGAAAGAAAUGAAAAAGCUAUUCAGAAAUCUGAUCCCCAUUCACUUUCCUUCGGCUUCACCCUUCUCGAAAAAGGUCUUCUUAAUCCAAUCAAAUGGCUGAGAAAAGACGAGAAAAAUUUUAAGAUUGAAUGAAGUCAUGAAUAUAAUAACAAUGUGAGAAAGAAAUGCACAUCAGAAUAUGAAAAAGCAUCUCUCUUGUUUCCUGUCUUUAUAUCUUUUAAUGAAAUGGUAAUAAGUGCUCAUUGAUUUAGUAAUUUUGGGUAUGUGAAGUAGCAAAGAUGAAAAAUCAGUAGGCAAGGUCGAUAUACCAAAAAAUUUCCAGUAAAUGGCAAAAGUUCCGUAUCUUGUAAACAUCCUUCCAUAGUUCUCACAAGGUGGGCAGAAGAACUUGAAUUUCACACAAGCACUUUAAGAAGAGCCAAGAAAUAAAAUGCCAUUACUCAACAAUUAAUGAAAAGCAAGUAACCACUAGAAUGGGAAGAAAAAUGUCAACAGUAAUUAAACAUGUCUAGGUGUGAUGAGCACAAUUUGAGGAAAGCAUAUUCAACUAUCAAAAGUCAUAGAUGGAAACAUGACUAUCUCACUUUGCACAAGCACAUUUGCUGCUCAAGGUGUUGUUCACAGAUAUUUACAUAUGUGGCAACUAAAAAAAAGAUGUUGCUUUUCCCUUUGUUCUAAGUUCUACUCCAUGGUGCCAUAUUUAUUAUAUUCCAGAAUCGUUUGCAACGGGCCUUAAAUAACAGUACUUUUCAAGCAAUUAAUAUUAAAGGUUGAGUAAUCCAUAAAAAAAUUAAUUCUUCAUAAACAGAAGGAAACAAAGAAUGGAAUUAAAAAGACACCAAUAGCACUUGCAUUAUCAAUCGAUAAAACAGCCAAAAACCACCUCUUAGUAAGAGAAUAAACAAAGCAAAGAGAUACAACAAAAUUUUCAAGAAACCGAAAAAGUAUCGUGGAACAAUAAAGGUGCCAUUGAACACUCUCAUUAACAAACUUUUUGUUAUUCAGAAUAGAUGGUCUGUCUCAGCUAAAAGCUCCUCUUUAUGAGUUCUUAACAAUCCUUGCUAUGACUAGUAACCAUUUUGUUCUCUAACAACUGCAACUGCUACUUGCAACAUUUGCCAAAAUUCUUUAGCUAUAACAGGUUCUCUUCCAAUUUCAUGACAGAUAACUGUUUAUCAAGUUCAAAUCCAACAAAAAUGCUGGCAGAAAUCAAAAACACCUUUGGGAAAAAGGAUUCACAUAUAAUCACAAAGAGUAUCUACAAAUGGCACAUAAUGAAAACAGCAAAACAUGGAAUCACCCAAAUGCAAAGUUGCAAAAUUUUAGAACUUUGAGAUUUUUAUCCAUAAAUCGGCUACCAAUUCAACAAAAUUGAAAGGAUCAAUAAUCAAUAAAAAAAAUAAUAAAAUAAAAGGAGAAGGGAGAAGGAGAUACCUGGAUGAGAUAAAGAGCAGUGGAGACGGCAGCAACGCCCCAGAAGGCGGCGGCCUGGAUAUCAGUGGAUUGAGGACGAAGCCUAGGCUUAAGGAACUUAAACAUAGUCGCUUCUCCUGCCAUUUUCGAUGCGAUUGAGAACCCUAAAACCUUAAAAUGGAAAAAAGUUGGGAUUUUUAAUGAGAGAAGAUCUUCGUUCGCUUUCUUUUCAACUCCCUAUCAAUGUCAAAAACCCGACCCUAUGCUUUCUUCGCAGACCUUGU